UUGGAGGGCAAGUCUGGUGCCAGCAGCCGCGGUAAUUCCAGCUCCAAUAGCGUAUAUUAAAGUUGUUGCAGUUAAAAAGCUCGUAGUUGAAUUUCGGGAUUAGUACGUCGGUCGCGCCUUAGGUACGUACUGGUGUUACUGGUUCCUACCUUCUGACGAACCAUCAUGUCAUUAAUUUGGUGUGGUGGGGAAUCAGGACUGUUACUUUGAAAAAAUUAGAGUGUUUAAAGCAGGCUCGCGCUUGAAUACAUUAGCAUGGAAUAAUGAAAUAGGACGUUGAUCCUAUUUUGUUGGUUUCUAGGAUUGACGUAAUGAUUAAUAGGGAUAGUUGGGGGCAUUAGUAUUCAAUUGUCAGAGGUGAAAUUCUUGGAUUUAUUGAAGACUAACUACUGCGAAAGCAUUUGCCAAGGAUGUUUUCAUUAAUCAAGAACGAAAGUUAGGGGAUCGAAGACGAUCAGAUACCGUCGUAGUCUUAACCAUAAACUAUGCCGACUAGGGAUCGGAUGAUGUUAAUUUUUUAAUGACUCAUUCGGCACCUUACGGGAAAC
rnacentral:rRNA from 1 species